rnacentral:rRNA from 1 species
GACAGAGGUGCCAAGCGUUAGGCGGAAUCACUGGGCUUAAAGCGUGUGUAGGCGGAAUUGUAAGUACCUUGUGAAAUCCCACAGCUCAACUGUGGAACUGCUUGGUAUACUGCUUUUCUUGAGCCACUUAGGGGCUGUCGGAACAAAUGGUGGAGCGGUGAAAUGCGUAGAUAUCAUUUGGAACGCCAAUGGUGAAAACAAACAGCAGGGAGUGUGCUGACGCUGAGACGCGGAAGCCAGGGGAGCGAACGGG